GAUGAACGCUGGCGGCGUGCCGAAUACAUGCAAGUCGAGAGAAGCGGGGACGGGUGAGUAACACGAGGAUAACCUCCUAUAAGAAUGGGAUAACUUCGGGAAAACGUAGCUAAACCGGAUCCUUAUAGAUGGAUCCGCGCUGCAGUAGCUAGUUGGAAAGGUAACGUCUUACCCAGGCAACGAUGCAUAGACGACCUGAGAGAGUGUGCGUCCACACCGCAACUGUGACACGUUCCAUACUCCUACGUGAGGCAGCAGUAGGGAAUCUUCCGCAAUGGGAGAAAGCCUGACGGAGCAACGCCGCGUGAGUGAUGAAGGUCGUCGGAUCGUAACACUCUGUUGCUAGGGAAGCGGUACCUAAUCAGAAAGCCACGGCUAACGACGUGCCAGCAGCCGCGGUAAUAC
rnacentral:rRNA from 1 species